AGCAAAAGUUAGGUUAAAGUUUAACAUUUUUCUCUUUUAUUGUGCACAACAUAUUAAUUUUUUUUUAUUUUAAGAGAUACAUUCCCAUAAAGAACAGUGUUCACUUAUUUGUAUGUUGUGCCAAAACAAUUCUACAGUACUCCGCCAGUGAUGCAGUUACCAGUGAUGGAAAACGGUUUUGCAGCAAACUAGUCCGAUGUAUUUGUAGUGGUCCUCGGAAUAAACUGCUAGGGGAGAGACACUUUCCAUUAUUCUAUGAUUAUAGCCUUACAUUCUGUAAACAUGGUACUAAACAUUGUGCUACAACAAUUCAAAGAAACGUGGACAGCUCUGUCAAAAUUAUCAACAAAAAUUAGAAAGAUUUAUAAUGUUAACUGCUG